UACGUAGGGUGCGAGCGUUAAUCGGAAUUACUGGGCGUAAAGCGUGCGCAGGCGGUUCGCCAAGUCAGGUGUGAAAUCCCCGGGCUUAACCUGGGAAUUGCGCUUGAAACUAGCGGGCUUGAGUGUGGCAGAGGGGGGUGGAAUUCCUGGUGUAGCGGUGAAAUGCGCAGAUAUCAGGAAGAACACCUAUGGCGAAAGCAGCUCUCUGGGACGGUACUGACGCUGAGACGCGAAAGCGUGGGGAGCGAACAGG
rnacentral:rRNA from 1 species